UUAUCGGAGAGUUUGAUCCUGGCUCAGGAUGAACGCUGGCGGCGUGCCUAAUACAUGCAAGUCGUGCGGGGGAAGAUCCUUCGGGAUCGGACCUAGCGGCGAACGGGUGAGUAACACGUGGGCAACCUGCCCGCAAGACGGGGAUAAC
rnacentral:rRNA from 1 species